rnacentral:lncRNA from 1 species
AACAUUUUACCAAGACACACGCAAGUCACUACCAAGCUGGUAAUCACGACUUUAUAAGAGGGAAAUUUCUGAUAGCACGUGAAGGCAGCAUAACAGUGCUCAUUAAAGGGUUAGUGUCACGGGGUGACGAAGGCCGGAACUAUAUGCCGAGGUUGUUGUUGUGGCGGGGAACACUUCCGGUGUAACACAAGGCCGGUUCCGGGGAUACACGGAAGCAGCAAAAAUACGCUGGAAUAGAAGAUAAUGAGGGUAAUCGCUGGCAGCUGUCUGGGGGAAAAUAUGUAAGCAGGCGAUUGGACCAAGAGGGAAAUAAAAGAAGUUGAUGUUAGAGGAGAACGGAGGAAGGAUUUGUGGGGAGGCAGCAGUGACACAGCAAGCAAGGAAUCGGAGGCAGAGAGAGACUGGAUUAAUUUGAGAUAAGUGUCUGGUUAUUCUGGUUCAUAGUUAUUCUAUGAAGAAGCACUGCGUUGACAUACUGUUGAAGUUCAUGACUCUCUGUCUAGUUGCUGAGGAUGGAUGUUUGGGAAUGACACAACAGUGAGAGCCCUGUUUUGUAUCAACGCAUGGAGAGAACAUCAGUUGAGGUUGUUGUGUGGGCCCGUACUCUGCUUUAAGGAUUUGAGGUUUGGGCAUGCUGUGCUGAGUUCCAAUUAUCACGUGUGAAUUGAGUGUGUUGUAGUGUAUUCACGAGUGUGGGAUGCUGCAGAGUGUACGGGCGACUAGCCUAUAAUCCCUCGACAAAGCUGUGUUGUUCAUUUGGGCAAGCCUUGCCCUGGGUGAUGAAGAAAGGAGAAUAAGUGAUUAGAACUGUGAAUUAUACGUACCCUCCAUUCUGUCUGAAUCCAGUGACAAGCCCAUUAAAGCUGUGAAGUUGAAGAGCUUGUUCAAACUGUUAAAGCUGUGAAGUUGAAGAGCUUGUUAGAACUGUGAAAUAUAUGCAACUCUCUUCUCUCUGUUUGAAUUCAGUGAAGAGCCUGCUAAAGCUGUCGGAGUCCACCGAAGAACCUGCUGAAGCAGUGAAGUAUACGUACCCUCCAUUCUGUCUGAACCCAGUGAAGAGCCUGUUAACGGACCCCGUGACAUAUGGAAUUGAGUAUCCACUGACUCGACCAUUCAUAUUGAAUCUGUGCUGAAGUACUGUAGAGUCACUGAAUUGGUGCUGAAACCCCACUGAGCCACGGAACGGAGACAGCCACUGAUGAUAUCCAGCCUGUGAACUCUAGGAAGGGAGUUACCACCAAGCCGUCGCCAUCUGGUGCUGUAGCCAUUCGGGCUGUAUUCACCUUACUGUGUUGGUAGUGGAGGAGGGGAACUAGAGCCACACACACCAUCACUCAAUCUCUAGGGAGGAAGCUCGUACUGCUUUUAGAGACAUUUCUUUUAAAUAAAUUAAUAAACGUGUUAACUUUGAAUUCUUGUGGUCUGCCUUUUCUCUGGUACGGGGUAGCUCCUCAAGAAGGGUGGUAGUGGGGGUGUCGGCUGACAGGGAUUGCCUUCACACCCCCAGUCUG